rnacentral:lncRNA from 1 species
GAUGUUCCCCCAAUCCACUUCUCUUGCCAAAAUUCAUAGUUGUACCAUUCCCCAACACACUAUUAAUAUAGGAUGAAAACAACCCGAUGUUGUAACACCCAAACCCCUUAACGCGAAUUUAUUGAAUAUAAAAAAAUAAAACACUUAAGAAAAUUAAGGCGUCACGAUUAUAAUAUAAAACCACAGCACAAACACGUCAUGCUAGCACAGCGGAAAUUAAAAGCAAAUAUAGUUCAUUGUGCAUAUCAUACAAUAACUAUAUUGUUCACAUAAUAUCCCUAGACUCUAGGCCAUAUCAACAACAAGGAUAUUAUGUUUACAACAAAAAAUAAGGAUUAGCA